ensembl:lncRNA
AACCUAACCAACACCUAACCACCACCACCCUAACCAACACCACCCUCACCACCACCCUAACCACCACCCUAACCAACACCACCCUAACCACCACCCUAAACACCACCACGUGAUAUUGAACUAACCGCAGAAUUUCACUCCCAAAAUAACGCUGUACUCGCGCUACGAAUAGACAUCUCUUACUCUUACUUAAAUGUAGGCUCUCAAAUAACGGCCAUCAAUUGGUUGAUUACAAAUAUUAUGCAUGUCAGCUUCAAGUCAUGUUUUUUGCACAUUUAAUUCCCAGAAGAUCAAGAGUUUUGGAAUCUAAACGUGAGCAUAUUUGGCUUAGCUUGCCGGCAACAUCCGCCGUUUUAGUCGUCAUAAAAAAAAAAAGUAGAAAAAAUAUAUAUAUUUGUCUUUGUCAAAUAAAAUAUAAGGGGUAACACCGUCGUUUUUCAUCAAUCAUCAUGGGGAAAGAACAUAAGGGGUAACACUGUUGUUUUGAUCAAAUUAAACGUAACGGGUAACACUGUCGUUUUUUAUCUGUCGUCAUGAAAAAACCAUAAGGGGUAACACUGUCGAAAUGUAUCGAAUAAAACAUAAGGGGUAACAAUGUUGUUUUUUAUUGGUCGCCAUGAAAAAAACCAACCUGGUCUCACAGGAAUCUGUGAAAUGACUACGGACGAAUAACUCGAAAUCCGUGGACACAUCACGGAAACACGCCGAUUUCCGUGAUGUGGCCACGGAAUUCGCUCCAAUGCAAGUUAAUGACGCUGAUGUUCCGUGGCUCACACACGGAUCCCCGUUUCAACGAGCGAGUCGACCACGGGGGCUUAACUCAAAACCCGGGGUGGUCUCACUGAAACACUUAAAUUGUCCUUGUUGUGUCCACGGAAGUUGCUCCAAUGCAAGUAAAUGACAAUGAUAUUCCAUGGCACACACACAGAUUCCCGUUUCAAUCUGUGUGUGUGCUCCCGUUUCAAUCUGUGUGUGCUACAUUUGACCACAGUGGGGGCUUAACUCAAAAUCUGUGGUGGUCUGACGGAAUCACUUCAAUUGUCCGUGAUGUGGCCACGGAAUUUGCUCCAUUGCAAGUAAAUGACACUGUUAUUCCGUGGCUCACACACGAAUAUCGGCGUGUUUCCGUGAUGUGGCCACGGAUUUCAAGUUAAGCGUCCGACCGUAGUCAUUUCACGGAUUCCUGUGAGACCAUGUUGAAAAAAACAUAAGGGGUAACACUGUUGUUUUUUAUUGGUCGUCAUGAAAAAAAACAUAAGGGGUAACACUGUUGUUUUUUAUUGGUCGUCAUGAAUAAAACAUAAGGGGUAACACUGUUGUUUUUUGUCGUCAUGAACAAAAACAUAAGGGGUAACACUGUUGUUUUUUAUCGGCCGUCAUGAAAAAAAACAUAAGGGGUAACACUGUUGUUUUUUAUUGGUCGUCAUGAAAAAAACAUAAGGGGUAACACUGUUGUUUUUUAUUGGUCGUCAUGAAAAAAACAUAAGGGGUAACACUGUUGUUUUUUAUUGGUCGUCAUGAAUAAAACAUAAGGGGUAACACUGUUGUUUUUUGUCGUCAUGAACAAAAACAUAAGGGGUAACACUGUUGUUUUUUAUCGGCCGUCAUGAAAAAAACAUAAGGGGUAACACUGUUGUUUUUUAUCGGUCGUCAUGAAAAAAACAUAAGGGGUAACACUGUUGUUUUUAUUGGUCGUCAUGAAAAAAAACAUAAGGGGUAACACUUGUUUUUUAUUGGUCGUCAUGAAUAAAACAUAAGGGGUAACACUGUUGUUUUUUGUCGUCAAGAACAAAAACAUAAGGGGUAACAAGGUUGUUUUUCAUUGGUCGUCAUGAAAAAAACAUAAGGGGUAACACUGUUGUUUUUUAUUGGUCGUCAUGAAAAAAAACAUAAGGGGUAACACUGUUGUUUUUAUUGGUCGUCAUGAAUAAAACAUAAGGGGUAACACUGUUGUUUUUUGUCGUCAUGAACAAAAACAUAAGGGGUAACACUGUUGUUUUUUAUCGGCCGUCAUGAAAAAAACAUAAGGGGUAACACUGUUGUUUUUUAUCGGUCGUCAUGAAAAAAAACAUAAGGGGUAACACUUGUUUUUUAUCGGUCGUCAUGAAUAAAACAUAAGGGGUAACACUGUUGUUUUUUGUCGUCAUGAACAAAAACAUAAGGGGUAACACUGUUGUUUUUUAUCAGCCGUCAUGAAAAAAAACAUAAGGGGUAACACUGUUGUUUUUUAUCGGUCGUCAUGAAAAAAACAUAAGGGGUAACACUGUUGUUUUUUAUUGGUCGUCAAGAAAAAAACAUAAGGGGGGUAACACUGUUGUUUUUUAUUGGUCGUCAUGAAAAAAACAUAAGGGGUAACACUGUCGUUUUUAUUGGUCGUCAUGAAAAAAAACAUAAGGGGUAACACUUGUUUUUUAUUGGUCGUCAUGAAUAAAACAUAAGGGGUAACACUGUUGUUUUUUGUCGUCAUGAACAAAAACAUAAGGGGUAACACUGUUGUUUUUUAUUGGUCGUCAUGAAUAAAACAUAAGGGGUAACACUGUUGUUUUUUGUCGUCAUGAACAAAAACAUAAGGGGUAACACUGUUGUUUUUAUCGGCCGUCAUGAAAAAAAACAUAAGGGGUAACACUGUUGUUUUUAUUGGUUGGUCAUGAAAAAAAACAUAAGGGGUAACACUGUCGUUUUUAUUGGUCGUCAUGAAAAAAAACAUAAGGGGUAACACUUGUUUUUUAUUGGUCGUCAUGAAUAAAACAUAAGGGGAAACACUGUUAUUUUUAUCGUCAUGAACAAAAACAUAAGGGGUAACACUGUUGUUUUUUAUUGGUCGUCAUGAAAAAAAACAUAAGGGGUAACACUGUUGUUUUUUAUUGGUCGUCAUGAAUAAAACAUAAGGGGUAACAAGGUUGUUUUUCAUUGGUCGUCAUGAAAAAAACAUAAGGGGUAACACUGUUGUUUUUUAUUGGUCGUCAUGAAAAAAAACAUAAGGGGUAACACUGUUGUUUUUUAUUGGUCGUCAUGAAUAAAACAUAAGGGGUAACACUGUUGUUUUUUGUCGUCAUGAACAAAAACAUAAGGGGUAACACUGUUGUUUUUUAUCGGCCGUCAUGAAAAAAAACAUAAGGGGUAACACUGUUGUUUUUUAUCGGUCGUCAUGAAAAAAACACAAGGGGUAACACUGUCGUUUUUAUUGGUCGUCAUGAAAAAAAACAUAAGGGGUAACACUGUUGUUUUUUAUCGGUCGUCAUGAAAAAAACAUAAGGGGUAACACUGUCGUUUUUAUUGGUCGUCAUGAAAAAAAACAUAAGGGGUAACACAUGUUUUUUAUUGGUCGUCAUAAAUAAAACAUAAGGGGUAACACUGUUGUUUUUUGUCGUCAUGAACAAAAACAUAAGGGGUAACACUGUUGUUUUUUAUUGGUCGUCAUGAAAAAAAACAUAAGGGGUAACACUAUUGUUUUUUAUUGGUCGUCAUUAAUAAAACAUAAGGGGUAACACUGUUGUUUUUUGUCGUCAUGAAAAAAACAUAAGGGGUAACACUUGUUUUUUAUUGGUCGUCAUGAAAAAAACAUAAGGGGUAACACUGUCGUUUUUUAUCUGUCGUCAUGAAAAAAACAUAAGGGGUCACACCGUUGUUUUUUAUUGGUCGUCAUGAAAAAAACAAAAGGGGGAAACACUGUUGUCUUUGUCAAAUAAAAUAUAAGGGGUAACACUGUUGUUUUUAUUGGUCGUCAUGAAAAAAAACAUAAGGGGUAACACUUGUUUUUUAUUGGUCGUCAUGAAUAAAACAUAAGGGGUAACACUGUUGUUUUUUGUCGUCAUGAACAAAAACAUAAGGGGUAACACUGUUGUUUUUUAUUGGUCGUCAUGAAAAAAAACAUAAGGGGUAACACUGUUGUUUUUAUUGGUCGUCAUGAAUAAAACAUAAGGGGUAACACUGUUGUUUUUUGUCGUCAUGAACAAAAACAUAAGGGGUAACACUGUUGUUUUUUAUCGGUCGUCAUGAAAAAAACAUAAGGGGUAACACUGUCGUUUUUAUUGGUCGUCAUGAAAAAAAACAUAAGGGGUAACACUUAUUUUUUAUUGGUCGUCAUGAAUAAAACAUAAGGGGUAACACUGUUGUUUUUUGUCGUCAUGAACAAAAACAUAAGGGGUAACACUGUUGUUUUUUAUUAAGCCGAGGCUUCCAGCCAUAGGACGUGACGGGACGGAGGCAGAACCACCCAUGGAACCACCCCCACGCGGAC